CACAGCAGCACCUGGAGGGAGGGGCACACCUGUGGGCCUUCGGCCACUCCCACCCUCACGCCUGUCUGACUACAGCAGCAGGGGUUUAACUCAAGCCUGACACAGGUGCGCUCCCUGAUCUGACCACCUGCCCAGCCGCGGAGCCCGGCACAGACCCUGAUUGGUGGCUCCGUGGCCAGGUUUCAUCUGAGCUUGUGGGGCCCGGGAGCCGGCUGGCGGUGAGGCCUCGAGGCUGCGGUCGUGUCCCUGAUCACUCAGGAGUGGACGAGUGGAAAGUGGAAUCCGUCGCUUUGAGCUUGACAGGCAAACAUCCGACCAGCCCUUCCUCCGCCCGGCUGCUCCAGAACCACCUGCGGCGAGCAGGGCUUUGAGAACAUCGGGCCGUGGUUUCCGGACGUCAGGCCCCCCGUGGCCUCCGCCAAGCGUCUGAGACUGAAGCAUUGCUGACGCACUCCACGAGGUCCUGGCCAGACCCCGCUCAGGACAUCCCACUGCACAGGCCCCUGGUUGUUGGGUCAGCGCUGCCGCCAGGCUCAGACUCACCCCAGGGCCCUCCUUGGGCCCCCUUUCUCUGCCUCCUUGGUCAAGGCCCAGACCCAGGCCCCCCCAGGCCCUGCCUCCUCACACUCACGGCGGCCGCUGGGUCUUCUACCGCAUGGUGCCAGCUCCCUCUCCUCCACUGCGGUGUCCUAGCCCAGCUCUCUCCCUGUCAGGCCCUCUGAAGUUCCACCCCCUGGCACUCAGCUCAUGGCGGGAACAGGACCAGGCUCUCCUGUUGCCAAGGGCAGUGAGAUGUUCGUAGCUUUAUUUCCCAGUACAUUGAUUUUACUGAUUUUAGUUUAUCUUCAGUUGAAUAAUUGUGUGUAUUGAUGGGGUUUAUGUUUUAUGGGGUUUGGUGUGAUGUUCUGAUGUACGUAUUUGUUGCAGAAAGAUUCAAUUAAGCUAAUCAACAUAUCCAUCACCUCACCAACUUGUUUUUUUGUGGUGAGAACAUUACAAAUCUAUUUUCUAGCAAUUUGGUAUACAAUACAGUCAUCCCUCGGCAUCCUCAGGGAAAUUGGUUCCAGGACGCCGCUCUGAUAACAAAAUCCGAGGAUGUUCAAGUCCCGGAUGUGAAAUGGCGUAGAGUUUGCACAGAGGUUGCACAUGCACCCCCAGGACUUCAAACCAUCUCCGAUGACUUAGCACCCAGUGCAAGGCAAGGCCAUGAAAACGGCUGUUCUACUGUAUUGUUUUACAUUCUUAUUUUUAAUUUAAAACUUUUCCCACAUCAUAAAUCCUCGGAAGCAGAACUGCACUUACCGAGCACCCUGUGUACUGUGGUUAACGGCAGUGGUGGCCGCCACACAGCGCGGCUGACCUUGAAGCCCACAGCUGCAGCUAACGAACGCUUUGCACCCUUUCACCAACGUCUCUGCUUUCUCUAUCUCUCUUCCUGCCCCGGCCUCCUGCAACCCCCUUUCCACUCUCUGUUUCCAUGAAUUCAGGGUUUUCGGAUCCCACACGUGAGUGAGAUCCUAGCUUUUGGCCAGUGGCAUCCGCCCUCCCUGAGGACCCACCAACCCCUGGGGCCCCCAUUCCCCAUUCAGUCUGACCCCACGGGUCAGCCCCUGUCCCACCUGUGACAGCCCCACUGCUGUUGACAUCGCCACCUCAGCCUGUCCUGCCUGUGACAGCCCCACUGCUGUUGACAUCACCACCUCAGCCUCUGUCCCGCCUGUGACAGCCCCACUGCUGUUGACAUCGCCACCUCAGCCCCUGCCCCGCCUGUGACAGCCACACCGCUGCCGACAUCGCCACCUCAGCCCCUGCCCCGCCUGUGACAGCCACACCGCUGUUGACAUCGCCACCUCAGCCCCUGCCCCGCCUGUGACAGCCACACCGCUGUUGACAUCGCCACCUCAGCCCCUGCCCCGCCUGUGACAGCCACACCGCUGUUGACAUCGCCACCUCAGCCCCUGUCCCGCCUGUGACAGCCACACCGCUGUUGACAUCGCCACCUCAGCCCCUGCUCCGCCUGUGACAGCCCCACUGCUGUUGACAUCGCCACCUCAGCCCCUGUCCCGCCUGUGACAGCCCCACUGCUGUUGACAUCGCCACCUCAGCCCCUGUCCUGCCUGUGACAGCCUCACUGCUGUUGACAUCGCCACCUCAGCCCCUGUCCUGCCUGUGACAGCCCCACUGCUGUUGACAUCGGUGCCUCAGUGAGGGCAGGCACUGAGUUCAAGGUGGUCCCAGCCCAGCAGCCCCAUCCUGAGGCCUCUGCCUUCCUCCUUGUUUUCAUUUUUAAUUUUCCGGUUAAAAGCCUGCUGGUGCACACAGCAAUUGACUGAAGUGCAGGCGUCUUCAGCGUGUGGCGGGUGGAUUUUCGCUGCCGGCUCGGGCUCAGGGCAUUCCUCUGUGCCCCCGUCAACACCCCCUGCCCUGCGCAAUGGCUCUUCCAACCUCUGACCCUGGCCUGCUCUGAAACUGCAUCUACGCAGCCUCCUGAACCAGCCUUCUCGCCUCCGCAGCCUCCAGACGCCAGCCCUCCCUGCCGGCCCCCCUCCCUGUGUGUGGGUGCCGGAGCUGUUUCUGUCCUGACUGCUGGGAGUCUUGGUGCCUGGGUGGUUCUGGGCUGGGGGACCCCCUCCACUCUGUCCCCUCGGUGCCCUGACCCCACGCUUGGGGACUUCCUGGGCCCUCUCUGCCCACGCAGGUGUCCCUGGCAUCUUCCUGGGCAGCAUCCCUCAAUUCCAACUCCAGAUCGAAGGGGAGCCCUGAGGCCUCUGAUGGAGGCUGUUGCCUGUCUGGAGGAAGCAGGCUGUGAGGCUUCGGACCUGGGGUCUGCCUGUCCCGGGCAGUGGCCCAGGGGGCCGGACACCCAGCAGUGUUGAGCUCCCAGCCUUUCAAGAGAUAUAGAAACCCUAAUUCUUACGUGAAUUGUCUCGACUUUAAAAUGU
rnacentral:lncRNA from 1 species